GAAUCAACUAACCUGGGCCCACGGGGUU
rnacentral:piRNA from 1 species